UACGUAGGGUGCGAGCGUUAAUCGGAAUUACUGGGCGUAAAGCGUGCGCAGGCGGUUUUCCAAGACAGAUGUGAAAUCCCCGGGCUCAACCUGGGAAUGGCAUUUGUGACUGGAAGGCUAGAGUGUGUCAGAGGGGGGUAGAAUUCCGGGGUGUAGCGGUGGAAUGCGUAGAGAUCCGGAAGAACACCAGUGGCGAAGGCGGCC
rnacentral:rRNA from 1 species